CUACGGGAGGCAGCAGUAGGGAUCUUCCACAAUGACGAAAGUUUGAUGAGCAACGCCGCGUGAGUAAGAAGGUUUUCGGAUCGUAAACUCUGUUGUUGGAGAAGAAUGUAUCUGAUAGUAACUGAUCAGGUAGUGACGGUAUCCAACCAGAAAGCCACGGCUAACUACGUGCCAGCAGCCGCGGUAAUACGUAGGUGGCAAGCGUUGUCCGGAUUUAUUGGGCGUAAAGCGAGCGCAGGCGGUUUCUUAAGUCUGAUGUGAAAGCCUUCGGCUCAACCGAAGAAGUGCAUCGGAAACUGAGAAACUUGAGUGCAGAAGAGGACAGUGGAACUCCAUGUGUAGCGGUGAAAUGCGUAGAUAUAUGGAAGAACACCAGUGGCGAAGGCGGCUGUCUGGUCUGUAACUGACGCUGAGGCUCGAAAGCAUGGGUAGCAAACAGGAUUAGAUACCCUGGUAGUCCAUGCCGUAAACGAUGAGUGCUAGGUGUUGGAGGGUUUCCGCCCUUCAGUGCCGCAGCUAACGCAUUAAGCACUCCGCCUGGGGAGUACGACCGCAAGGUUGAAACUCAAAGGAAUUGACGGGGGCCCGCACAAGCGGUGGAGCAUGUGGUUUAAUUCGAAGCAACGCGAAGAACCUUACCAGGUCUUGACAUCCUUUGACCACUCUAGAGAUAGAGCUUUCCCUUCGGGGACAAAGUGACAGGUGGUGCAUGGUUGUCGUCAGCUCGUGUCGUGAGAUGUUGGGUUAAGUCCCGCAACGAGCGCAACCCUUAUUACUAGUUGCCAGCAUUUAGUUGGGCACUCUAGUGAGACUGCCGGUGACAAACCGGAGGAAGGUGGGGACGACGUCAAAUCAUCAUGCCCCUUAUGACCUGGGCUACACACGUGCUACAAUGGAUGGUACAACGAGUUGCGAGACCGCGAGGUUUAGCUAAUCUCUUAAAACCAUUCUCAGUUCGGAUUGUAGGCUGCAACUCGCCUACAUGAAGCCGGAAUCGCUAGUAAUCGCGGAUCAGCAUGCCGCGGUGAAUACGUUCCCGGGCCUUGUACACACCGCCCGUCACACCAUGAGAGUUUGUAACACCCAAAGCCGGUGAGGUAACCCUUCGGGGAGCCAGCCGUCUAAG
rnacentral:rRNA from 1 species